GAUGAACGCUGGCGGCGUGCUUAACACAUGCAAGUCGAACGAAGCAUUUAAGACAGAUUACUUCGGUUUGAAGUCUUUUAUGACUGAGUGGCGGACGGGUGAGUAACGCGUGGGUAACCUGCCUCAUACAGGGGGAUAGCAGCUGGAAACGGCUGGUAAUACCGCAUAAGCGCACAGUACCACAUGGUACAGUGUGAAAAACUCCGGUGGUAUGAGAUGGACCCGCGUCUGAUUAGCUUGUUGGCGGGGUAACGGCCCACCAAGGCGACGAUCAGUAGCCGACCUGAGAGGGUGACCGGCCACAUUGGGACUGAGACACGGCCCAGACCCCUACGGGAGGCAGCAGUGGGGAAUAUUGCACAAUGGAGGAAACUCUGAUGCAGCGACGCCGCGUGAGUGAAGAAGUAGUUCGCUAUGUAAAGCUCUAUCAGCAGGGAAGAUAGUGACGGUACCUGACUAAGAAGCUCCGGCUAAAUACGUG
rnacentral:rRNA from 1 species